UUGCCCUAGUAACGGCGAGUGAAGCGGCAACAGCUCAAAUUUGAAAUCUGGCUCUUUUAGAGUCCGAGUUGUAAUUUGCAGAGGGCGCUUUGGCGUUGGCAGCGGUCCAAGUUCUUUGGAACAGGACGUCACAGAGGGUGAGAAUCCCGUACGUGGUCGCUAUCCUUCGCCGUGUAAAGCCCCUUCGACGAGUCGAGUUGUUUGGGAAUGCAGCUCUAAAUGGGAGGUAAAUUUCUUCUAAAGCUAAAUACUGGCCAGAGACCGAUAGCGCACAAGUAGAGUGAUCGAAAGAUGAAAAGCACUUUGGAAAGAGAGUCAAAUAGCACGUGAAAUUGUUGAAAGGGAAGCGCUUGCAGCCAGACUUGCCUGUAGUUGCUUAUCCGGACUUUUGUCCGGUGCACUCUUCUAUAGGCAGGCCAGCAUCAGUUUAGGCGGUUAGAUAAAGGUCUCUGUCACGUACCUCUCUUCGGGGAGGCCUUAUAGGGGAGACGACAUGUAACCAGCUUAGACUGAGGUCCGCGCAUUUUGCUAGGAUGCUGGCGUAAUGGCUGUAAGCGGCCCGUCUUGAAACACGGACCAAGGAGUCUAACAUCUAUGCGAGUGUUUGGGUGUCAAGCCCAGACGCGUAAUGAAAGUGAACGGAGGUAGGAACCCUUUGGGUGCACUAUCGACCGAUCCUGAUGUCUUCGGAAGGAUUUGAGUAAGAGCAUGGCUGUUGGGACCCGAAAGAUGGUGAACUAUGCUUGAAUAGGGUGAAGCCAGAGGAAACUCUGGUGGAGGCUCGCAGCGGUUCUGACGUGCAAAUCGAUCGUCAAAUUUGGGCAUAGGGGCGAAAGACUAAUCG
rnacentral:rRNA from 1 species